rnacentral:rRNA from 1 species
CCUACGGGGGGCAGCAGUGAGGAAUAUUGGUCAAUGGCCGGAAGGCUGAACCAGCCAAGCCGCGUGAGGGAGGAAGGCGCAGAGCGUCGCAGACCUCUUUUGCCGGGGGACAAAAGGCCGGCCUCGUCCGGUCCUGAGGUUACCCGGAGAAAAAGCAUCGGCUAACCCCGUGCCAGCAGCCGCGGUAAUCCGGGGGAUGCGAGCGUUAUCAGGAUUCCUUGGGUUUAAAGGGUGCGCAGGCGGGCCUUUAAGCCGGCGGGGAAAUCGCGGGGCUAAAACCCGCCGAGCCGUCGGAACUGGGGGCCUUGAGUGCGGCGGAGGCAUGCGGAAUGCGCGGUGUAGCGGUGAAAUGCAUAGAUAUCGCGCAGAACCCCGAUUGCGAAGGCAGCGUGCCGUGCCGCCACUGACGCUGAGGCACGAAAGCGCGGGUAUCGAACAGGAUUAGAUACCCGAGUAGUC